UCAUGAUCAUUAAUUACCCAAACUUUAGCAUUUUUCAGUCUUGCUGCAUCGGCUGGUGAAGGAGUGGGCAGGAGCUGUUGCAGUUUGAGUCUUGCAGUGGAAUUAGUUUCCUGGUUGAGGUGGGAUUUCCUUGGAGACGGAGUGAGGAGCUCUGGUGAACUUUCCCUGAUCGUCUUACGUUGUUUCUGUGGUCCAAAGUGGAGGUGGGAAGUGUGUUCAUUCCCAGACCCUGCCUGGCCUCUCGUCCUCUGAUGGUGUGAAUAAUGUCUCAUCCAUUCUGGGUGCUGCCCUAGUCUGAUUCAUUGAAUCCAGAUUUCCCUGAUCAGCUGCAAUCCAUUUUUGAACCUGCUUUGUGCAGUGUACAAGAUAAAGAUGUGUCUGAGGAGGACUCUGAUGGUCACAGCACAUGUGAAUUCCAGCCCCUUCCCUGCUUGGCUUGUGAGAUUUCCCAUUGAAUUCGUGCUGUUGCCUGAUUUUUUUGGAUACCAGGAUUCCUGGCAAAGUUGGCAGCAGCUUUAACUAGUGCCAGCUUUCCACAGGGAGAAACCACACAUAUUCUGCUCAAGCUUCUGAGCUUGGUCAGCCCAGUAAACCCUGAGGCUGCAGAAGUGCCUGAGGUCCUCAGAGAUGUGCCUUUUACUGGGAGCAUCCCUAUCUUCCUGGCUCUCCACUGUGAUACAACGGGCCACAACCUUCCCAGAGACUUCCAGAGCCUCUCCCUGUGACUAAUCAGUUCAAGAUCAAGCUGAAAUGGUUCCUGUCCUGAAAAAUGGAUCCUGAAGAGGCAGGAUGUGCCUGCUGCCCUUUAGAUUCAGCAGGAGGAUGUUUUGGGCCCAAGGAUCCAGCAGGGAAGAGGAGCCCUCCAGCCUUGCUGUUCCCAAGCAGAUUCUGCCACAAAGAAACCCAGGGAGCAGCUCAGAGGAGCAGACCUGCAGCUGUGGACGUGCACACUUUGUUGUUCAACAGGGAUUAACUCAGAUUAACUGACAUUUCUGUCAGCAGUGCCCUCACCACAGACAUCCUGCCUUUCUACGGACGGGUUUUCACACCCAACACGUGGAGAAAGGAAAAAUGAAUGAAGACCAGGAGAGACUGACCAGGAGCUUUGGCUUUUGCUCAGCGGGGAGGACAGUGAAGUUGGUGAUGGAGCGCAGCAUCACGAGCAGGAUGGAGAGCACGAAGACGAUGAGCUCCUGGCGGUUCUCCUGCAGGAUCCCCCGGCUCACAUAGUACACACAGAACACUGGGGGGACAAGGCAAGGGCAGUGCCAGAGCGCUGCUUCCUGGAUUCCACACGUAAAAUCCCCCCCACUUUUGCAAGGCUGGGACAUGGGGACAAAGUGCUGUCCAAGUCUUCAAAGGAACACAGUAACUUGAGUGUCCAAACAAACCUUCAGUGACUGAACUUCCUUUUCCACUGCUCUUAACAGGGACCGAGAGAGUGGAAAAUGAUUGGCAAAUUACAGAGUGAAUCACGGGAUUUUUUGGACACGCUCUUGACCUCAGGAAGACCUCAAAGACUUAAGGCAGCAUUUCCUUGUUUUGCAAAUUCAGCUGCUCAGUCAGAAGAAAUUUUGCACGAAUAAUUUGAAAAUAAGCUCUGAUUAUCAAGCUUUUUGCAGAGGUGGCAUAUGCACAUUUCUGAAAUACAGGACACCCCCUUGGUUUUGGGGAUGAAUAUUUCUCAACAGAUUAAAUCCCCAACCCCCCCUUAAAUUAAAUAUCUAAUUGUAAACCCAAGAGAUUGUUACAGCCAGGGCAUCUAUUUUUCUUUAAAGAAACACCUGUCCUGUCAGUCUUUGUCUAUCACACAGAAAACAUGGUUUGGGGGAAAAACAGAUGGGCAAGUGUGGCUUCAACUUCCCAGGUCUGUGAUGGAUUUAACAUGAAGGUUCUUCAGGCUGUUCUAACAUUGCAGCUUUGUGAGUCCUGUGUGAAAAGCUGCUCAUUAAAUCAGAGGUUUGGAAUUAAAGCAUUGUUGGGAUUUGUCUAAUUAUAGAAUCUGGAACAAAGCUAUUGUCUUUGUUCCCUCUGGGUGAGAGCUGGAAGGCAAGGACUGUGUUACACCCACAAUCUCUCCUUUUUCACACUGUUUUGGCAGCCAAGACCUGCUAAAGCCACUUCCUGAAAUAGUUUAUUAUUUUCAUGGUAAUUUCUAUUCGAGACAAAUGGACCCAAGAAUACGAAAAUAAGUUUCUGUUGAAGCUCUCAUUGGAAAUAUCCAAGGAAGUUUGGAUCUUCCAGUGGGGGGAAAAUAUUAGACAAAAAAGAGAUUUUUUUUUUAAAAAAUGAGGUUCUUAUUUUAAUAAAAUACUUCAGGUGAAGCAAAAUCCUUGCAGGAACUUAGCACAGAGAGAUGCCUUCACAUUUUCUUGUUUGAGAUCAGACAUUAAAAAGGGAACUGGAAGGUUUUCUGG